GUGUUCUCUCUCUCUUUCCUGCUAGUCUGUGUAAACCUCGCUGCCCCAUUGGGUGGCUCGAGGCAGGAGCCAGAGGGGAGAGCCGUCUUAGACCUGGUCAAAGAAAAAGGAAAUCUUACAAAGGAACUGUGCAAAAAGAGCUGAAGAAGUCUUCAAGGAUAACCCAACCCACAUCCAGAACUGUGAACCCUACAUAUUUUAUUGCAUGAUCGAUCGACAGCCAUAAAAUGGUUCUAUAUGGUAAAGUUCUAAAAAUCCACUUAGUCCUUAAUAAGAAGGUCCAAGAAGCACUUUCUCAGAGACAUAUGCACUGAGCCUCUUGGGACUCAUUCAGUGGGUCCCAGGUAGCAUAAUACUUCAUUCUUCUCAGGAAUUCAGCCAGAGGCAGAACUGGCCACUCUACUUUGAUGUCACAGGUAAAUGGAUGGAGCUGGAGAAUAUGAUGCUAAGCUGUGUAUUCAUCUGGUCCUGGGCUUUUCUUGGUUGUUUUCGGCGGACACAACAUCUUUGUUUGUAUGAGGUGCUGAGGAUCGAACCCGGGCUGCACGCAUGCCAGGAGAGCGCGCUACUGCUUGAGCCACAUCCACAGCCCCACACAUCAGUGUUUAUAGCAGCAAAAUUCACAAUAGCUAAACUGUGGAGCCAACCUAGAUGUCCUUCAGUGGAUGAAUGGAUAAAAAAAUGUGGCAUAUAUACAAAAUGGAAUUUCACUCAGCAUUAAAAGAGAAUAAAAUCAUGGCAUUUGCAGGUAAAUGGAUGGCAUUGGAGAAGAUAAUGCUAAGUGAAGUUAGCCAAUCCCAAAAAGCCAAAUGACAAAUGUUUUCUCUGAUAUAAGGAGGUUGACUCAUAGUGGGGUAGGGAGGGGGAGC